GUGAGGAAUAUUGGUCAAUGGACGAGAGUCUGAACCAGCCAAGUCGCGUGAAGGAAGACGGUUCUAUGAAUUGUAAACUUCUUUUGUGCAGGAAUAAAGUGGGUUACGUGUAACCUUUUGUAUGUACUGUACGAAUAAGGAUCGACUAACUCCGUGCCAGCAGCCGCGGUAAUACGGAGGAUCCAAGCGUUAUCCGGAUUUAUUGGGUUUAAAGGGUGCGUAGGUGGAUUGAUAAGUCAGCGGUGAAAGUUUGCAGCUUAACUGUAAAAUUGCCGUUGAAACUGUCGGUCUUGAGUGCAAAUGAGGUAGGCGGAAUGUGUUGUGUAGCGGUGAAAUGCUUAGAUAUAACACAGAACUCCGAUUGCGAAGGCAGCUUACUGGGAUGCAACUGACACUGAUGUACGAAAGCGUGGGUAUCAAACAGGAUUAGAUACCCGGGUAGUCC
rnacentral:rRNA from 1 species